UGCACUGAAGAGUAUCUGCAUUUUGUGGGUUAUUCCUGUUGGGUAUUCAACGGGCCAUUGCGAUGUAAAUUCAGUAUCUGCUGUCAUUGGUUUUCUUAGCUUCAUGCAUAUUAAACCUGGCAUUUUUAUUACUACAGUA